UACGAAGGGGGCUAGCGUUGCUCGGAAUCAUUGGGCGUAAAGGGUGCGUAGGCGGCGCGGGAAGUCGGGUGUGAAAUCUCGGAGCUUAACUCCGAAACUGCAUUCGAUACUGCCGUGCUUGAGGACUGGAGAGGAGACUGGAAUUUACGGUGUAGCGGUGAAAUGCGUAGAUAUCGUAAGGAAGACCAGUGGCGAAGGCGGGUCUCUGGGCCGAUACUGACGCUGAGGAGCGAAAGCGUGGGGAGCGAACAGG
rnacentral:rRNA from 1 species